GAAAAAUCCUCAUUCUUGCUCCCAAUGUUACCCAUGAACUCAUCCAACCAGGCCUGUGCUUCUGUGGGCAGCAUUAAUUCAGACAGCGCUUCCUCUUAGGUUAUGCCAAAGUUCGACAUUUGUCGUGGGACUUCACAAAGAGUAUUAACCAACAAUGGUGAGGGCAACCCCCUCUCAGGUGAGAUAGUUCCAAAGCAUAUUGGUUAUGGGCUCCAUCUUGGGGUUGGCAUCAUCACCAUAUCCUCUUGAGCUCUCCUCAAGAUUCUAUAUUUCCCAGGAUAAGGGUUCUGCAGAACAUGGUCUCCAUCCCCUUCGGUUUUGCUAUUAGCCUUUUCAACCUCAUUUUUGGUUCUCCAAUGGAGUUGAUUUUUUCCCUCAUCUGGUAUUUUCUCAAACUUUACAUUCUCAUAGGUUUCUAAGGAAGUUGGGACUUUCAAUGAGUUCAUGUAGGCUUUGUGUUGCAUUUGGACUCUCCUGAUCAUAGAGGCUCCCAUUUCUUUGACGGGUUUCCCAUCCUUUCCAACCACAUACCAUUUCCACCCAAGUCGGGCUUUUUCGUGACUAGAUUCACUAUCCUUUCCUUUCUUCUAACAUCCUCAUCAGCAUAAUGUGGUUGGGGUGGCUUCACAUCCACCCACCUUGGCGCCUUGGUUUCUCUGUCCUCUACCUCUGCAGCAGCUUCGUAAUUCCUGAACACUUCUAACAAGCUCUUUAGUUAAGAGUCUCAUCCCAACCAUUGGAAAACAUUCCUAGAGGUUUCUCUUUUAGCUGCCCGCAUGACAUUUAUGCGGGCUUUUUGAUAUUCUCUUUCUCUUCUUCUGAUCAGCUCUUGAUCGAUAAUGGCUUUUAACGCUGGGACUUCUAACUCAUACUCACAUUGGGACUUGUUACACAACACUAUUCCUUUGACUAUGGCUGCUUUGGGCUUCUAGGGCAACUUAAUAACUUCUUCAGAUGGCCUAUCAACUUGCCUCCGUUCUGCUUUCACCUCCCAGGUAGCUUUUCCUUUCCCCUUUUCAACCCACGUUAAGUUGAUUAUGUUGAUUAGGGCUUCUAGGAAGGGUCAGUGUCAAUCAUCAUAUUGGCUUGCGAUUUCUCCAGCAAAAACUUUCUUUCACUAUAAGGUCUUGUAUCCAAUCCCUGAACUGGACAUAGUUGGUUAUCGAGUGAUUGAAAGUGUAAUGCAGCCUGCAAUACUUCUUCCCUCUUAGUUCUUCGAGCUUGGGCAACUUUUUGGUGUUGUCGGGCACAAUCCCUCUCGCCCGAGAUCUCUGUGGCCUUGGUUCAGUCAAAGGAAUAACUCUAGUAUUUGGGGGGGUUUCAUGGUGACAAAAUGACCAUCAUUCAUGACCACUUUUUGGUCCUUGACCGGCUGGACUAACCCCUUCAUUAUUAAAGGCUUAAAAGGGGUAGUCAUUUCCGCCGCGCAUAUGUCCAUUCUUUCUCCUUCGUGGCCAUUAUUCUCUUUUGGCUCUUCGUCAAACUCCACUUGAUGGAUUGCAACUUUGCUUUUGUAGAAAAGAGGCACCUUAGAUGAGUGCUUUACUUGAUGUUCCUCCAGUAAUAGCUUAUCAUACCUGGUGCCAACAAUCACCAACUCUUGCAACUCAUUGAAUUGCACGUCAUAAAACUUCUUCCUCAAAGGAAAUCUCAACGCCUUCUACGUAAUGGAUAUGAGUUGUGCAUGAUUUAUAGGGAAUUGACACCUCAUCCUUGUCCUCCUAAACCUCAUCCUUGUCUUUCUAAACCUCAUCAUGAAGUCUUCAGUGGACUUAUGCUCAUAAUGCUUGACCUCAACCAGAUAGUUGAUAGUCAUCUCGGGCUAGACCUUGUAAAAUUGAUCAUGGAAGGCCAUCU
rnacentral:lncRNA from 1 species